UGGGGAAUAUUGCACAAUGGGCGCAAGCCUGAUGCAGCCAUGCCGCGUGUGUGAAGAAGGCCUUCGGGUUGUAAAGCACUUUCAGCGAGGAGGAAGGUGGUGAGCUUAAUACGCUCAUCAAUUGACGUUACUCGCAGAAGAAGCACCGGCUAACUCCGUGCCAGCAGCCGCGGUAAUACGGAGGGUGCAAGCGUUAAUCGGAAUUACUGGGCGUAAAGCGCACGCAGGCGGUUUGUUAAGUCAGAUGUGAAAUCCCCGGGCUCAACCUGGGAACUGCAUUUGAAACUGGCAAGCUAGAGUCUCGUAGAGGGGGGUAGAAUUCCAGGUGUAGCGGUGAAAUGCGUAGAGAUCUGGAGGAAUACCGGUGGCGAAGGCGGCCCCCCUGGACGAAGACUGACGCUCAGGUGCGAAAGGCGUGGGGCAGCAAACAGGAUUAGAUACCCUGGUAGUCCACGCUGU
rnacentral:rRNA from 1 species